rnacentral:rRNA from 1 species
CUUGUUGGUGAGGUAGUGGCUCACCAAGGCGACGACGGGUAGCCGGCCUGAGAGGGCGACCGGCCACACUGGGACUGAGACACGGCCCAGACUCCUACGGGAGGCAGCAGUGGGGAAUAUUGCACAAUGGGCGAAAGCCUGAUGCAGCGACGCCGCGUGAGGGAUGACGGCCUUCGGGUUGUAAACCUCUUUCAGCAGGGAAGAAGCGAAAGUGACGGUACCUGCAGAAGAAGCGCCGGCUAACUACGUGCCAGCAGCCGCGGUAAUACGUAGGGCGCAAGCGUUGUCCGGAAUUAUUGGGCGUAAAGAGCUCGUAGGCGGCUUGUCACGUCGGUUGUGAAAGCCCGGGGCUUAACCCCGGGUCUGCAGUCGAUACGGGCAGGCUAGAGUUCGGUAGGGGAGAUCGGAAUUCCUGGUGUAGCGGUGAAAUGCGCAGAUAUCAGGAGGAACACCGGUGGCGAAGGCGGAUCUCUGGGCCGAUACUGACGCUGAGGAGCGAAAGCGUGGGGAGCGAACAGGAUUAGAUACCCUGGUAGUCCACGUCGUAAACGGUGGGCACUAGGUGUGGGCAACAUUCCACGUCGUCCGUGCCGCAGCUAACGCAUUAA